rnacentral:rRNA from 1 species
UACGUAGGGUGCGAGCGUUGUCCGGAAUUAUUGGGCGUAAAGAGCUUGUAGGUGGUUUGUCGCGUCUGCUGUGAAAACGCGAGGCUCAACCUCGCGCCUGCAGUGGGUACGGGCAGACUAGAGUGCGGUAGGGGAGAUUGGAAUUCCUGGUGUAGCGGUGGAAUGCGCAGAUAUCAGGAGGAACACCGAUGGCGAAGGCAGAUCUCUGGGCCGUAACUGACGCUGAGGAGCGAAAGCGUGGGGAGCGAACAGG